CUUGCCCUCCUCCCCAUCUCCCUCUUUUUAUAUUAGACAGCGAAAGUGUGAGGCUUACGAUACCACUCAAGAAAUUACGAGACUAUGGACCAUUCAAGUCAUCAUGGACACAUGGGGCAUGAAGGACACAGUAUGGGUCACGAGCAGAAUCAUGGGGACCAGAACACAUACAAUCAUGAAAAACCAGUAAUGCCAGCAGACCAUGUGAGUAAUAUUCAUAAUCGAAUUUAUA